UACGUAGGGUGCGAGCGUUGUCCGGAAUUAUUGGGCGUAAAGGCUCGUAGGCGGUUUGUCGCGUCGGAGUGAAAUCCACUGGCUUAACUGGUGGCUUGCUUUCGAUACGGGCAGACUGGAGGUAUGCAGGGGAGAACGGAAUUCCUGGUGUAGCGGUGAAAUGCGCAGAUAUCAGGAGGAACACCGGUGGCGAAGGCGGUUCUCUGGGCAUGUCCUGACGCUGAGGAGCGAAAGUGUGGGGGAGCGAACAGG
rnacentral:rRNA from 1 species